rnacentral:rRNA from 1 species
GAUGAACGCUGGCGGCGUGCCUAAUACAUGCAAGUCGAGCGAACAGACGAGGAGCUUGCUCCUCUGACGUUAGCGGCGGACGGGUGAGUAACACGUGGAUAACCUACCUAUAAGACUGGGAUAACUUCGGGAAACCGGAGCUAAUACCGGAUAAUAUAUUGAACCGCAUGGUUCAAUAGUGAAAGACGGUUUUGCUGUCACUUAUAGAUGGAUCCGCGCCGCAUUAGCUAGUUGGUAAGGUAACGGCUUACCAAGGCAACGAUGCGUAGCCGACCUGAGAGGGGUGGGCGGCCACAGGGGAAGUGAGCCACGGUCCAGCCACCGGGGGGGGGCGGAGGGAGGGAUUCUUCCGCAAGGGGCGAAGGCUGGAGGGGGCACCGCCGGGGGAGUAAGGAGGGUCUUGGGAUCGAAAAACUUUUUUUUUGGGGAAAAAAAAAUGUUAAAGUAACUAUGCGCUUCUGGACGGUCCCUAAUAGGAAAGCCACGGCUAACUAGGGC